rnacentral:rRNA from 1 species
UACGUAGGUGGCAAGCGUUGUCCGGAUUUACUGGGCGUAAAGAGCGCGCAGGCGGUCGUUCAAGUCGCGUGUGAGAGCCCCCGGCUCAACUGGGGAGGGUCACGCGAUACUGAUCGACUCGAAGGCAGGAGAGGGAAGUGGAAUUCCCGGUGUAGUGGUGAAAUGCGUAGAUAUCGGGAGGAACACCAGUGGCGAAGGCGACUUCCUGGCCUGUUCUUGACGCUGAGGCGCGAAAGCUAGGGGAGCAAACGGG